GACGAACGCGGCGGCGUGCCUAAUACAUGCAAGUAGAACGCUGAAGGAGGAGCUUGCUUCUCUGGAUGAGUUGCGAACGGGUGAGUAACGCGUAGGUAACCUGCCUGGUAGCGGGGGAUAACUAUUGGAAACGAUAGCUAAUACCGCAUAAGAGUAGAUGUUGCAUGACAUUUGCUUAAAAGGUGCAAUUGCAUCACUACCAGAUGGACCUGCGUUGUAUUAGCUAGUUGGUGAGGUAACGGCUCACCAAGGCGACGAUACAUAGCCGACCUGAGAGGGUGAUCGGCCACACUGGGACUGAGACACGGCCCAGACUCCUACGGGAGGCAGCAGUAGGGACAUCUUCGGCAAUGGACGGAAGUCUGACCGAGCAACGCCGCGUGAGUGAAGAAGGUUUUCGGAUCGUAAA
rnacentral:rRNA from 1 species